rnacentral:rRNA from 1 species
GAUUAUUAAAAUAUAGGAAUCUAACAAUAUGGAGUAUACAAUUAAGUAUUUAAAGGGAUUUGUAAGGAUACCUAGCAGAUAUAUUUGAAAGGAAGGAAAUUCUUUAAGUAAUAGUAAAAAAUUUGUAAACUAUUACAAUCCUAAGGAAAACCGAAAAAGUAGAAUACGUUGGGAAUUAAAACAUUUUAGUACCAAUAGGAAAGGAAAUCAAAUGAGACUUCUGUAGUAAUGGUGAGUGAAACAGAAUGAGCCUUUUUAUUCUUCUGUAAAAUAGUAGAAUAGCAAUAAAUAUUGUGGAAUUCAAUAGACUACGUUUUAUAACGUAACCGAAGAUGGUGAUAGUCCAUACAUUGCUUAUCUAUGCGUAAGCUAGAAUAACUCUAUUUUAUAAAAAGAAGAUAGAAUCAAGUAAUAUGAAGACGGCUGCUUUGUAUGAAUGAGGGGAUACCAUUCUCCAAGGCUAAGUAUAAUAUAUCUAGCGAUAGUGAAGAGUAACGUGAGUGAAAGGUGAAAAGUAAGUGAAUGACUAGUGAAAUAGAUCUUGAAUUACAAAUCUUACAAGCAGUUAGAGUUCUAUAGAAUAGAAUGAUAACGUACCUUUUGCAUAAUGGGUCAGCAAGUUAAUUGUAAAUGCAAGAUGAUAAAUCUUAGUGAAAGCGAUAAGUAAAUAUAUAAAAUGAACUUAGUAAAGUAUUUAUAAUUAGAUCCGAAACCAGAUGAUCUUUUUAUGGCCAGGUUUGAAUAAAAGGACUGAACGGGUGAAUGUUGCAGUAUUCUCCGAUGAGCUGUGAAAAGGGGUGAAAUGCCAAUCUAAUCUGGUGAUAGCUGAUAUUCUGCGAAAUCUAUUUUAGUAGAAAGUUUAUUAUAGAUAAUUCUUUGUAUAGCACUGAUUUCCAUUUCUUGUACAUUGUUAUGUACUCUUAGGAUAAAUUAGGGGGCUCUGUGCCCUACUAUUGGAAGUUAACCUCAGAAGAAGAAUAUAUUGUUGAUGAACUGACAGUCUAUUUGUGAUAAGGUAAAUAGACAAAAGGGAAACAGCCCAGAUCAUAUAUUAAGGUACCCUAAAUGAUAUUUAGUGAAAUUAAGAAAGUUUUUUAUCUAAGACAACUAUGAAGUAAGCUUGGAAGUAGCUAUCUUUUAAUGAAAGUGUAACAACUCAAUAGUCUAAAAAUCCUUAUGGAUGAAUCUGAUAAAAAGCAUCGAAAAUUUAACGGGUCUAGAUAUCUAACCUACAUUAUGAUUCUCUAUAUUUAUGAUAUAUAAAUAUAGUGGAAGGUAGCAGAACACUUAGUAUUCAGUGUGAAGAAAUAAAUAAAUUUAUUUUUGACUAUACUAAAGAGAUAAUGCUGGCAUGAGUAACGAUUAAGAAGUUAAAAUACUUCUCGCCGAAUACGAAAGGGUUUCAUGGAAAAGGUAAUCUGCCAUGAAUUAUACGGCUUCUAAGGAGACUAUAACGAAUUGUAAUUCUCUGAUGACAUAGAAAAAUAUAAUUCCUACAUAAAUAGGAACUAGAAAAGUAUUUUUCAUUUAGUUGAACCGUACCUUAAACCGACACAGGUUCGUGGGUAGAGUAUACUAAGGCGUAGAGAUAAGGCUAGUGAAGGAACUCGGCAAAAUGCUUUUGUAAGUUCGACGACAAGAAAGGAAAUAAUAGUUACGUAUGUAUUAUUAUUUUGGCACAGAAACGAGGGCUCCGACUGUUUACUAAAAACACAGCAACUUGCUAAGACGAAAAGUACUUGUAUAAGUUGUGAACUCUGUCCAAUGCCAAUGGUGUAAAGGAGGUGAUUUUCUUUAGGGAAAAUUUACUAACUGAUGCGUUGGUCAAUGACGGUCUUAACCAUAAGGAUCUGAAAGUAGCGAAAUUCCUUGGCCAUUAAAUGUGGUCCUGCAUGAAUGAGGUAACGUGGCCCUGCUGUCUCCACUAGUUUCUCAGUGAAAUUGAAUUAGCCGUGCAGAUGCGGUUUGCCUUCCGGAGGACGCGAAGACCCUAUGCAGCUUUACUGUAGUUUGAUAUUGUUAUUUGUCUAACAUAGUGUAGAAUACAAGGGAGUGAACACAUCAGUGAAAUACCUUGCUAAGUUAACACGAAUGACUUACUUUGAAAAAGAGGACAGUGUCAUAUGGUCAGUUUUGCUGGGGCGGUAGCCUCUAAAAAAGUAUCAGAGGCCUUCAAAGGUAUAUUUAAAUUGGUCAGAAACCAAUGGAAAAUUAAUUUCCAUCAAAGUGUAAUGAUAAAGUAUGCUUUACUGAUAGAUUGAUAAAUCGAUCAGCUACGCAAGUAGGACAUAGUGAUCCGGUGAUCCAGAAUGGAAUGAUCAUCGCUCAAGAAAUAAAAGUUACGCUAGGGAUAACAGGUUUAUCGUCUGCAAGAGUUCACAUUGUCCAGACGGUUUGACACCUCGAUGUCGACUCUUCUCAUCCUCCAGGUGUAGUCGCUUGGAAGGGUUCAGCUGUUCGCUGAGUAAAGAGGAACGUGAGUUGGGUUUAAUACGACGUGAGUCAGUAUAGAUUCUAUCCUCGGAAGGGAAAAAGAAUAAAUAGAGAACCUCUAGUUAGUACGAAAGGACCAUUAGAGAGAAUUCCAUGGUGUAUCUGUUGUUGUAAUGUAAAUUAUGGCACCGCAGGGUAGCUACAAUUCUGAAAGAGAAGUGCUGAAGGCAUCUCAAGCGCGAAACAGAUCUCUAGAUAUUCUUUCAAAUAAGAAAAAGACUAUUUCUUAUUUUUAGGGUGUAAAUGUAUGUUUAACACUACUAAUGUAUUGAAAAACUUAAUUGUACCAUAUUGUUCAAUCAAUUU